rnacentral:misc_RNA from 1 species
CUAAGGAGCACUUCUCCAGACAGGGGUCCGAAGAGUCGGAUCGUCUUCUGGCAGAGACAGUUUCGGACUCAUGUGUAGUCCGGCUGGAGCUCAUGGGUGGAACGCUGACAUGCGCCGGCGGUUGCUCGAAGACAAUGUGCUUCGGGUGCCGGAUGUAGUCGACACACUGUUGGGUCCUGAAAGAACAGACGUUCUUUCCAGGCAAAAAUAGACUUGCUCGGAUCUUCGUGAGUACCGCAGGGUUUUGGCUCUGGCUGGCUUCGAGUUUCGGAUUCGGGUGGGUGUGUUGUUUGAGAACUGCACAGUGGACGCGAGCAUCUUUGUUUGUAAGUGUGUAAGGGCGUAC